rnacentral:rRNA from 1 species
AGUGAACGCUGGCAGUAGGCCUAACACAUGCAGGUCGAACGGCAGCACAGUAAGAGCUUGCUCUUACGGGUGGCGAGUGGCGGACGGGUGAGGAAUACAUCGGAAUCUACUUUUUCGUGGGGGAUAACGUAGGGAAACUUACGCUAAUACCGCAUACGACCUACGGGUGAAAGCAGGGGAUCUUCGGACCUUGCGCGAUUGAAUGAGCCGAUGUCGGAUUAGCUAGUUGGCGGGGUAAAGGCCCACCAAGGCGACGAUCCGUAGCUGGUCUGAGAGGAUGAUCAGCCACACUGGAACUGAGACACGGUCCAGACUCCUACGGGAGGCAGCAGUGGGGAAUAUUGGACAAUGGGCGCAAGCCUGAUCCAGCCAUACCGCGUGGGUGAAGAAGGCCUUCGGGUUGUAAAGCCCUUUUGUUGGGAAAGAAAAGCAGCAGGUUAAUACCCCGCUGUUCUGACGGUACCCAAAGAAUAAGCACCGGCUAACUUCGUG